AAUACUUUCUUCUGUUAUUUUCAAUGUCUAUCUCUUUUAUUCUUUAAUUCAUUCAUGUGUGCAGAAAAAAAAACUUUCUCAGUUCACAAAUAGACCAUGUUCACGAUUCUUGCUGUUAAUACUUGGAGUUUCUCUUUUGAAUUCGACGGAACCAAAAAGGUGGUGGUGGCGGAAUGGUCGGUGUUGGUGGAACUACUUCCGCCGCCUCCGGCUACGCUUCUCCCAACGACGCCGUUGACUACUACCUCAAGUCUCGCGGCUUCAACGCCUCUUCUCUCAGAUCGAGUUAUCGUUCUCUGCUUCCAAUUUACGAGACCGCGACUUGAUGUCAAAGAGCGAAGCAAUGGUUGUUGUGUAUACUAAAAAAAGAAAGAGAUGGAACACUUUCUGAACUCUUUUCUGCAGUGAGGUUGUUUUGAAUUCUCUGAAUCCUAAAUGGAUUAAGAAGCUCACACUCUCUUAUCAGUUAGAGCUUGUCCAUACAUUGCUGUAAGUUGCUUUUAAAAACAUCAACCUUAAUAUAAAUUUUCUCACUUUAUUACCAUUUCUCUUCUCCCUGCGCAUGUUUCGUGUGUAUGAUAUUGACACUCAGUUUCAAAACUCAAGGGAGGAGAUGCUUAAGAUCGAUGAGCAGCAGUUUCUUGGCGAGGCAACCUGUACAUUGUCCGAGAUGGAUUUUCAAUCUUAACCAACUAUAGAAACUCUUAAUGUUCAGUGUGAGUAUAUGGAUGUGAGGACUUGACAGAAACACAAGUAGAAGAGUAAAGUGCAACUAUUCAUGUGGAAGGAUGAAGAAUGUUUAAUCAUGUUUUAUAUGUUCUUUAUUUUUCUGUUUAACUAGGAGUUUUCCUGCGCCAUGCGCAGAAAUAGUAAUUUUUAACAUAACAUUUUUUAUUUCAAAAGAAAAUUUUGAUUUAUAUUUCAACAUUAUUAAUUUAUAUUUUAACUUCAAUAAUUAUAAGAAAUCAUAAACGUA